UACGGAAGGUGCAAGCGUUAAUCGGAAUUACUGGGCGUAAAGCGCGCGUAGGCGGCUUGGUAAGUCGGGUGUGAAAGCCCCGGGCUCAACCUAGGAACGGCACUCGAUAAUGCUUGUCUGGAGUACGAGAGAGGGGGGUGGAAUUCCGGGUGUAGCGGUGAAAUGCGUAGAGAUCUGGAGGAACACCGGUGGCGAAGGCGGCUCACUGGCUCGAUACUGACGCUGAGAUGCGAAAGCGUGGGGAGCAAACAGG
rnacentral:rRNA from 1 species